CUAAAUAGACUGAAUACCCGAUUUGGAAACACAUUGAUCGCUGACACUCGCACAGUCUUUCAAACUCAGUUUGUUCACGGAAAAAUCUUAAAAUGGUCGUCUGCGGACAGCGACAUCUGCGCUCGUUUUUGGGAUUAAACUCUAGAUCUGGGGACUGUAGGACGGUCUAAUGAGCAGCCCUCAAACCGGGGCGUCUGGGAAACCAGUAAGUUGGAGAUGAAUGACGAGAUGAGAGCAUGUUGGAGAUGCUCCGCUCCUGAAGGAUGAAACAACCAACAACACAACACACGUUUCCUGUUGGCAGUCUGGUUAUUUCUGGUUGUUUCAAUCCUCACAAACACCCGUGACGCCCCGUAAACGCUGCGAUGGACGAUGGUUGAACUGCACCUCUGGGACACAUCUGCUUUCAACACACACACACACGCACACAGACACACACACACACCAAAAUUCAGAAGCAUGUCGGCUGUCUUCAUUGCUACACAAUUAGUUUUGGAGAUCCAUAAACAUAAGAGUAGCAACUCUAAAUCCAGUUGUUAUCCUUCUGUCGGGGAUCAUCCAUCUCCCACGUGUGUCCUUAAGUUAAGAUUUCCUCAAUUUUUCAACCUGACGGAGUGUUUAUCAUUCAUAUUAUUUUCCCUCCAUGCAUCAGUGAAUGGCAUGCCCCCCCCCCCCCCCCCCCCCCCCCCCCCCCCCGAUCUCAGUGAGGUGACGAGACAUGUUCAUCAUUAGAGGAACGUUGAUACAGAUGGUUUGAAAUUUUGCAGAUGAGCGUUUUUGCUUUUUUUGAAUAAAAUAUUUAAGAAAAUA